CCGGGACAGCGCAGAGGCCCUCAGGAAACCCGUCAAAAACAGGAGCGUAAAGCUAAAGAAAAUGAACUCGCCGGAGAUACAUAUUCUUCCAAUCAAGAAGCAACGGCUGGCUGCCUUUUUUCCAAGAAAGUAAAUUAUGGGUUUUUAGAAUUUUAAGAUUAUUAUGAGAAGAAGAAAAAAUAAUAAAAAAAAAAAGAUGCACUCGGUUUUAAACUCAUUUAAAACUUUAAACUAUCUUUGUAAGUUAUUUUUGGGGGAAGAGGGAGAGGAUUGGAUGUAGAGGCCCUAUAAGCUGGGUUGGUUUGGUUUUUUCUUUUGUUUUUGGAUUAUUUUUUUUUUUUGUUACCAAAUUUUGACUUUUCAUGGGAAACUGAAUAAAAAGCAACCUAUUUUUCAAGCAGAUUGCACAUUUUGCAGCUUUAAUGGAGUAAUGGAUGAGUCAGAGGGGUAAGAGCUAUUUUCACUGCCAUAAAGUGCUUUGAUGAUGUAACUCUUCAUAACAGUUGGAAUGGAAAUUUCAAAAUAAAUGUUUGUACGUGCUAAUUGGUUAUGGCAUUUUUUUCUCAUUUCCGAAUUGCUUUCAGUCUACAAAGAAGGUCGUGCAAAAUGCCUGUAAGCUGUAAAGCGCUGCAACUGACUUGUGAUGAGCCUAAGAUCUUAAAAAAAAAAAUAAAUAAAGGUAGGCUAAGAAAAAUUAUCUUGUCCAUGUCACAACAGCUGCUAACAAUGCACCCAGUGAGCCACCAGAGGAGUGAGAGUGAGUGCUCCAGCCUACAAACCAUCUUAAGUAAUGUUAUCAGUCAUUUAAAACAAAAAAGCCUAAAAGGGGAAUUUGGUUGCCAGGGGGUAGGAGGGGAAAAAAGAAUCACAUAAUUUUUCCCAGCCUGAAUACAGCUAUAUAAAAAAGUUGCUUAUUGUUGGAUUCCUAAGUUUCUUUGAUGGCCGAUAUCAAUGCAGAGCUGAGUAACUUUUAUCACUCAGCAGUGUACAAAGCCACCCACAUAAAUGGAGAGAUGUGAAUGUAAUAAUUAAAUAAAGUUCUGCUAGGUUACAGUUUUGCACUUGUCUGUGGAAAUGAGGUGGAGGUGAAUUACUGUUCGUGGGCUUCGAAGUUCACACAGCUCACUGGUAAAAACAGAUCCUGAUGGAAGGACAAAUGUGAGAGCGGAAGGACAGUUUUUGGUGGGUCCUGCACUUUUUUUGUGGCUAUACCAGUAGAAAACUUUUGUUACAAUUUCAGAUUACAUGUUCCUGCAGGGCAGAAGGACUAUCUGAGUAAAAUAAGCCAACUGGAUGCCGUCACAUGCUAACUAUGCCUGCCUUUGCCUUGCUGCCACCAGCCUAUUUCUAAGACUCCUCUUGGACAGCUUUGGGAAGGUUUUUGCAGUUGUUCAUACAAUAGGAAAUCGCACAAAGCAGCAGCUUCAGUGUCUCAAGCCUUCUCACACUCAUAGGCAUCAGUGUCAUGCCAAAAUCUGCUGCAAAUUUUGAUAGCAGCAGGCACCAGUUCGGUAUUUGGAAAAUUAAUCUGCACUAUGAGGUUAGGAAAGGCAUUAUGUUUCUCUUUUCCUUGGCUGAAGGAUCACUGCCUUCUUGCUUAGUACAAAAAUGGAAGACUUUCACAUAAGCACAGCAUCAGUUCUGUCAAACUCUUGCUUUUUAAGCAUUUUAAAGCCUUUUAUUUUUCCCUGAGGUGACAAAACUGACAACAUUCAGAAAAGCCUAAAGUGUUGAUGGAUUCAUUAAUGUUUAGUCAUCUGACUGUGUUUUUUUAAAGUAUCUUUUUUUUUUAAUUGAAAAUACUCAGCUACUUCAUUUUUCUCCUUCCAAGAAACUGCUAAUAAAAUAUGUCAGCUGUUUAUUGCAGUGCAGAGGCUGAGGAUUUCAACGUCCCUUGGGAUGGCCAUCCCAGUUGUCACUGUCCGCUUCUAUUUCAGCCUGCCCGUUCUAGAGUGUCAAAAAACCUUCUGAUAAUGUGAAUUUUCCCCAGGGCUAUACCACAGUAAAAUAAGGCGGUCACUGAAUUGGCUACUGUCAUUUUUAUUUUGCAGUUGACAAAAGCAAGUUCAAAAGAAAUUUAAUUUCUUUUUUUUAAAGAAGUGUUUCACACUGGUGGUGGCAUCUGCUGCACCAACUGUACAAAUCCUUGCUGUCCUUUCAUGAAUCAUUUCCCACAACAUCCUCAGCAGGCAGAGAGGGCAUCCAUCCACUGCUGCCCUACUGCUGAUAGCUGGGACAGGCAGAGCUUGUUGGUGGCACUGGCUGCAGGUGCUCAGCUUUUCCCUCCUCUCCUUCAGAGCCCUUUUCUGGGAGCAUCAAUGCUGUGGUACCUCCCAGCCCGCUCUGCACACAGAGAGGUCUGGUUUAACUGAAUUUAGACCACAGGCUCCAGAAACCCUGACAACAAAUAAGGCUAAAUCAGCUUUAUGACAUUAUAAACCCAUACAAGCGCUGUCAAAACAGCCAAUGCCUGGGGACAACAAAUUGAGUUUAAAGCCAACUGGUGCUGGUUGUAACAGUAGACCAGACUAGCAGCCAUGUGGCUGCAUCUUGCCCCAGUCCCUUGGAGGGGUAACUGCAACCUCUUCCUUCUGAAGCAGGGCUGAGGAAAAACAGAGCAGGCUCCAAUUAUCCCACCAUCCCUCUCUGCCACUCCAGGACAGCCUCCCUGACUUCACAGGGCCAGGAUGGGCAGGCUCCCUGCCACUGCCAGUUGCCACCAACAUCCUCAGAGCCUGUGACACAGGCUGGAGCCACUCUAGAGAUGGAUAAGCAGAGCAGUCAGGGCUCAGCCACCCCACUGCCUGCCUUUUCCAUUGUUUGAACUGCAGGGGCAGGGGGAAUAUUCUCAACAGCAUCUUCCCAGGAAGGCUUAGGACAGCUGGCACUCCCUUACCCUGCUGCCAUUUCAUGCAACCCCAGGCUUCAAGGCUGUGCCAUGGGAAGAGGAGCCACACACUGGCACCUCUCCUGCUGCUGAACUCUGGUGGGCAAAUGAUGCUAAGCAGGGGCCUUGCCUCCCACCCCCCUCAUGUGUGAAGCACAAGUCUUAACAUCCCAUCAACACGGGGGAGAAGUGGCUAUAGAACAAAGUACUUAAUUACACCAAGAUCGAGCACUUUCACCUCCUCCUCCUCCUCCUCCUCCUCCUCGCCUCUAGCAGCAAUUACAGAUUUUGUAUAUUGCGCCAUUAAUUUUCUACAGGGCUACAUUUUAACUGCUUCUGGAACUUCAAUAUGAGGAGAAGGAUGCAGAGCUACACUCAUGAUAUAUGAAGCUUCCAUUUCUGGUGGCUGUUAAUGGAGACAUUAAUACCUCUAGUGAAGUUGAAGGGAAAGUCAUUAAGCUGUAAUGGUAGGAGGAAGACAUUUUACAGUGAUGAGUAUAUGCGAGACAGAAAGGGAGAGCAGAGGGGGAGAGGAGCCCUGCCCUUAGGGGCACCCCUGGUUGGCUCCAGUCUCCAUGUGAUUUGGACUUUGGGUGUGGGGUCUUAUUAGGGAGUGAGUGAGAGGGUAGAAGGCUGUCAGGUUCUGUUGCCUUUCCCUUUGCUCUCUUCCCCCUGUCAGGCAGGGGCUUUGCAUGAAUCCAGAAACUAAAUCCAAGGUGGGCAGAAGGACUGCACAUCUCAGAUGAAGGCCAUGGGACAGGGCAGUCUCAGGGGAUUGAGUUCUCAGAUGUACCAGCUUUCCUACACAGGAUAGCCUUUCCUCAGUGCUGCCAAAGCACAGCUUCAGGACCAGGCGUGCACACCUAAGGCUUUCACAUGUGGAGUUAGCUGUUAGGAAAAUAAUAUAAUCCAAAAGAAGAAGGAGCAGCUUCUCAGAAAGGGAACUUAACUGGACUGGGCAGUUUCUGGGUUGGGAGGACACCAAGCAGUCAGGUAAGGCACAGAUAACUGUAAGUGCAAGGAAAAGGUGGAGAAUAGGGAAAGGAAAGGAGGCAAUGGAAGCUGAGACAAGAUCCAAGCCUCUUAGUGUUGCACCUUCAUUGAAGUUAGCAAGCAGCCAGCCAGAGAAUCAAAGGGAGAAGCAAAACGAAGGCCUUUGGCCAUGAGCUGCUGACAGAGAGAGAAAAGAAAGGCAUCAGCUUCAAAGACACAGCUCAGGCUGCUUGGUGAGAGCAGGGAGAAAGGCAGGCACUGAGCCCAGUGAGGGCAAUGCUUUCUUGGGCUGAAGGCAAGCAAAAAGUGAAGGCUGGGGGAGACCAUAUAUCAAACCACAUAUGCAGAGCACGCAAGGCAGUGUGUGCUCCUCCUUCUCCUCCUGCCCUGACAGCAGGGGACAAGGGGCAGCAAAACCAUCCCAGCAGAAAUGCAAAGGGAAGCAGAAGAGCAAAGGUAGCUGGUUUUGCCUUUCCCAUGCCUGAGGUAACAUGUAUGACCUAUAUUUCCUACCACUCACACUCCUAUCUGCUGUAAAAUUGGUAUGCCACGAUGUCUCACAAUCAGCGCUCACUUUUUUAACCACUUCUACCCAUUUUCUGCUCAGGCCUCCCAGAACACUGGGAUGAUUACACCACCUUGCACAUCCCUGCAGAGGUUUGACCCAUAGGUGCUCAAGGAUCAGCUUCACACACAUGCACAUGAAAGGUUUCAGGGGAAACCAUUUGGCAGAGAAGUGGCCACUGGGCAUGGAAGGGAAUGAAUCGGAGAAGUCUGUGCCCCUUCACUUGUACAGAGGCAACUUGGGACUGUGAUCUGACAAUAGUAAGUGACUUGUUAACAGUUCUCAUGAAGAAUAUUAGACAAUGAAAACAGCAUAAAACAACAUUGCAUAAUAUCCUGCUGCCAGAUGUUUUGUUUUUGUGCUCAAGUUUAUAAAAACAUGUUGAAGGGCUAAGUCAAGGACCUUGUUUUCCUCUGGGGUCUGUUCCUGCCUUCCCAAAGGCAGACAGCCUGACACAGUGACAUUAACAAUGUUAAUUUGUGCAAUUUGCUUUUUUCACUCACCUUUCACUUUUUUUCCCCCAACGCUUCCUCCUCCUCCUAUUUAAAGUUGCAUUUCUCUUAGAUUAUACUACAUACCUUAAUGCUGAAGUUUUCAAUUCAGAGUACUCUGGGGCAGUUUGAGACACACAAGCAAAUCCCCCAAUUUUAGUGUGGAAAACCUAUUUUCCACAGUUGUUAAAAUCAUGGUAUUGCAAUACUGUUAGGAAAAUCUGUUUUGUUGUUGAACCAUCUGAAACAUUUCUUCAUGUUUGGGUAGAAAUAUUACUAAUGGCUAAAAUAUUUAGUACUGCUUUUUGCCCAUAUACCCUAGGCUCUCUUAGAAUAAUACCAUAAUAUCCCAGUACUGAAAUUAUUAGGAUUUGUCCAAACUAAGAUAUGGAAAUUAGAAGAGCAAACAGCGGGUACAGUCUAAUCGAGUAUCUGGAAGGAAGGACUAUUUCUACUAUUUUCCAAGUGGAAGAUCAUUUUUUCACUGUUUGGAACUGUGUUUCCAGUGAAACUCUGGUAACAGACACGUUGCAUCCCUGCAUCACCCUGUGUCUCCCCUGGCUUGCUCCUGGCAUUACUAAUGUUCCUUAGGCCACAGCUGUUUCAAAAUGGUCACAUUUUUUGCAUUGUUCAGUAUCGUCCUUCCCACCACAUCCUCAUCAACGAAGUUCCCAUCUUUCUUUGCUUCAGAACAAAGUUAGGCAAUUAUUUGUCAUAGUCUGGCAUCUCACAGACCAAGGGCAGGCUACUGGGCACAAGGAGGUCCUUCUUUGUGGAACUUAUGUACCCAAAGAAAACCCCUAAAAGUACCACCAAUAAGCAUGGGAAAGCUAUUAAUUUUUGAAGUUUCUGAUACACAAGUAACUUCUCGCUUAUGGAGGAGAAAAACCCCAAACCCAACCUACUUGCAUUCAAAGUUAUAAAGGUCAGUACAUUAUUUUUUUAACAAAUGUUUCAAAAUAAGUACUUUGAAAGUUGGUCCACAGAGCACAAUCCAGCAUGAGAGCAUGUACCUACCCUUCAGAGAGCCUCCACCACCCAGCCAUGAUGACACAAAGCCACCACACUCAAUCUUCCAGCCCAGUGAUGCAUAUGCCACAGUCACCUAGAAUCACCUGUAUUUGUGUAAAGGGGUCAGAGUGGGCUUUAAAGACACCAACAGAAUAUUUAAGUGCUUGCCAUCUGCUUUUGGACACAGCAUUCUGUGCAAUAACAAAGAUCUAAGAAAGCACAAAUAUUCUCUAUAGACAGAAUUUUGGCUAGAUAUUCUGAACAACUGGACUUUAAAGCCAGACCUCCUGUGGAAGAACACGGGACCUGGCCAACAUUGUUUGGUUACUGUAAUGUGCACCUGAACAUUUGCUUCUCAAUGCCAACUAGGUCUUCCAAUGAAGGAGUAGAGUAAGAGGGCUGUUCCAGCUUACUUGCAAUGAAGAGAACUUUAGGGGGGGAAUUAGGUCACGUGCUUAAGUUGAAAUGGGUAUUGAGACUCCCGUGAUAGAAAGUGACUAAUAAAACCAGUAGAGUCAAGAAAUCUCUGUAAAGCAGAUGUUGGUAUUUGGGCAGAUCACUCAUACCUUCAACUCCCAUGGACUAAAUUCAGAAAGAGUCUGGACAACUAUGACAUCAAGAAAUGAAGUUACAUUAAGUGAAACCCAAGCCUGUAUUCCCAGGUUUUGGCUCCUCAACUGAUCUGGCUUUAAAAUAAGUCAUACUAAGCGUGAGUUGUUAGCAGCAUCUAAGAAACAAUUAAAGGCCAGAGAGUGUAUGUCCCAAAACCUGGGUUGGGAAUUACAAGGAUUCAUCCCUUGUUUUCAGAUAAAAGCAUGUCAAGAUAAGACUUCACAUCCCUGACAUGGUUCAAAAUGUUUAUUCCUAACUUUCCCAUUAAAAAUCCCAGCUUAACAUGAACAGUCAAAGACACAAAUCAUCUAUAAAUCUGAAACAGUUUAUCUUGAUAUAUCCACCUGGUUUUCUCCUUCCUAAUUUUCCAUUACUUCAUUCUUCAUGUAUUUUCCUUCCCAUGUUUAUUGCAAGCAAACCCUAUCACUCAUCCCAGCCUUGCAUUUCUGUUUUCUUUCAAAAUAUUUAAACUUUCCCCAACCUGUUCAUUUCCUGUAGCCAAACACCACCCAGGCAAUUACAAUUAAUAUAUUACAGUGAAUGCAAAGAUGUAUGAAAGCCAUAUAGCUCCCUUUUGCUGAGCUGCCCUCUUGAAAGUCAGGUUAAAAAAAAAAAAGACAAAAAAACCCCACCACAAACCAAAAGAAAAAAAAAAAAAAAAAA
rnacentral:lncRNA from 1 species